GAGUUCUUGGCAAAGUAGAGAAGCUGAUUAGGAACUUUCUCUGGGGAGGCCACGGAUUCAUCGAGAAGGAUACACUUGCUGGCCUAUGGCGUUGUUUGCCAAUUGAUGCUGGAGGAAGGAUUGGGUAUCCAGUUAUUGCCGAACAGAUAGGAUGCUUUUACCUUAAGGUUGAUAGAAAAGUUCAAGAUGGAACCCUAAAAUUGUGGCUGGCUUUGAUGC
rnacentral:lncRNA from 1 species